UUCAUCUUGAUCCUCAUUCUCUCUCUCUUUGCCCAAAAACCAUUGUCAACGAAUAUAGGUAGGGUUCUCUCCACCAUUGCCGUCUUUUCAAGCUGAGACGUCGCUCCACCAUUGCCGUCGGCUUCUGCAAGAUUCGGUCAGCGUUCGCUCGCUCCUCUAUCGGUCGCAAGUCCAGAAGAUCGAGUCAUCGGCAGUCAUGGCCUCUUCCCUCACCGCCGGUGGUUCCCUCUUCCCUCGCCGCCAGUCGUUCCCUCUCCCCUCGCUGCCAGUUGUUCCAGCUCUAACUUAAGCAUCUUCUUCUAAUUCAGUAACUUUAGUCCAACAAAGAUCCCCAGUUGUGAAGGUCUAAAUAUGUUUUAAUGUCUCUAAGCCCUUCAAUGUUCUAGUUGAUCGUAUUGCAUUGGGAAUACCUGUAAGUAUGAACUACUUUAAAUAUGCUUUCAGAUUUGUUACAAGAGUUGCUUUCUAAAUUAUGUAUGUGGUCAUUAAGAUGCAAUAUAUUUGAACCAAAUGGUUGGAGGAAGUAAAUCUGUGAAUUUUUUGUCUAAGUGGUUGAUGUUGGUUAUUAAGGGCUUUAGUUAGGGGUGGGAGGAUGGAAUAUUAUUGUUUAAUCAAUGUUGUUAUCUUUGCAAGAGUUAAUGGUGAAUUAAUUAUGCAAGGAUGGAGAACACCAUUGCACAUAUCAUUUCUUCAUGUCUGAGCAUCAUCUUCUCUCCUUUGAUUACAAUCAACCAUUUCUUCUUGGUGGUUCGUGUCGUGGCACUGGAACCAGGACUAUUUUGAUCUUAUUAAUACAGGUACACCUAUGGAUUUUGGCACAAUAUGCAGCAACCUUCAAAAUGGUGUAGAGUACAAGAACUCAAAGGAUGUUUUAAGAGAUGUGCAACAUAUCUGGGAUCAGUGUCAUAAGUAUAAUAGAAAUGGCCAUGUUUUGGAGCUCAUGAAGCAGGUGAAGAAAAGUUUCACAUAGUUAUGGACAAAAGUUGGGUUAUACUGGGAACAAUCGCUUCAAUUUGUUUUUCUUUUGGGUUUCUGUUUCUUGUAAUUCUCAAUCAAAAUUGGGUUUCUAUUUGUAU